rnacentral:lncRNA from 1 species
CUUUUUUUUAAAGGAUGGAAAUUAUAGAUGAAUUCAGUAAAUUUAGGAACUUUUGUUAAUCUAUAGGCACCCUGAGUGAAAUGACAUGCCAACGUGGAAGAUAUUUUCCACAAAUAUCACUCACAAAAAAAUCCAGAGGGAAUACUCAUGAAACAUAAGCUUUUCCUUUAGAAGAAUUUAGAAGUAACGCUGUGAAUAUGACAUUUACCCAAAAGAAAAAUGGCCAAGUCAGUUGAGAAUAACCUUAUAAUGUGUUCAUGGAUUCCAAAUUCAACUCUCAGAACAAAACCCUCUGGCUUUUGAAGAGUGAGUCUCGCUUUGUGUGUGACAGUGUUUUCAACUUUCCAUUACUAUAUAAAGCAUCUGAAAUGAAUUUCAGUUUCCUCCAUAUUAUUCUAUCACUCCAGCUCAGGUUCAGUGGAAAGAAAAUCACAUUAAGGUAUGAAUAUCAGGUUUUCAGUUCAUUGAGGAUCAAUAUUUGGAGAAGAGUUAUGUGAUGCCUUCUGGAAGCCAUGAGUACUAUAGAAACAAGAUGGGAAGGAUUGAAAUAAAUAGUGAGAAGCCUUGCUUUCCCUAGAAGGC